rnacentral:rRNA from 1 species
UAGGGAAUCUUCGGCAAUGGGGGCAACCCUGACCGAGCAACGCCGCGUGAGUGAAGAAGGUUUUCGGAUCGUAAAGCUCUGUUGUAAGAGAAGAACGUGUGUGAGAGUGGAAAGUUCACACAGUGACGGCAACUUACCAGAAAGGGACGGCUAACUACGUGCCAGCAGCCGCGGUAAUACGUAGGUCCCGAGCGUUGUCCGGAUUUAUUGGGCGUAAAGCGAGCGCAGGCGGUUUAAUAAGUCUGAAGUUAAAGGCAGUGGCUUAACCAUUGUUCGCUUUGGAAACUGUUAAACUUGAGUGCAGAAGGGGAGAGUGGAAUUCCAUGUGUAGCGGUGAAAUGCGUAGAUAUAUGGAGGAACACCGGUGGCGAAAGCGGCUCUCUGGUCUGUAACUGACGCUGAGGCUCGAAAGCGUGGGGAGCAAACAGG